rnacentral:rRNA from 1 species
UGGUCAAGUUAUUAAGGGUGCAGGGCGGAUGCCUUGGCACUAGGAGCCGAUGAAGGACGUGAUAAGCUGCGAUAAGCUUCGGGGAGUUGCACGUAAACUUUGAUCCGAAGAUUUCCGAAUGAGGAAACUCACUUAGAGUAAUGUUUAAGUAUCAUUAAGUGAAUACAUAGCUUAAUGAGGGGAACUCAGGGAACUGAAACAUCUAAGUACCUGAAGGAAGAGAAAGAAAUUCGAUUCCGUAAGUAGCGGCGAGCGAACGCGGAUUAGCCCAAACCAAUAAAGUUUUCUUUAUUGGGGUUGAGGACAUACCACAUAUAAGAGGUCAUUAUAGACGAAGAAGUUUGGAAAAACUCAUCAUAGAAGGUAAUAAUCCUGUAGUCAAAAUAAUAAUUCUUUAGGUAUGAUCCAGAGUACCACGGGACACGUGAAACCCUGUGGGAAGCAGGAGGGACCACCCUCCAAGGCUAAAUACUACCUAGUGACCGAUAGCGUAUAGUACCGUGAGGGAAAGGUGAAAAGAACCCCGGGAGGGGAGUGAAAUAGAACCUGAAACCCUGCACUUACAAGCUGUGGAAGCACAUUUCUUGUGUGACCGCGUACUUUUUGUAGAACGGGCCAACGAGUUACGUUAAGUAGCAAGGUUAAGCACUUAAGGUGCGGAGCCGUAGCGAAAGCGAGUUUUAACUGAGCGUUCAGUUACUUGACGUAGACCCGAAACCGGGCGACCUACCCAUGAGCAGGAUGAAGCGAAAGUAAAAUUUCGUGGAGGUCCGAACCCACGAGCGUUGAAAAGCUCGGGGAUGACUUGUGGGUAGCGGUGAAAUUCCAAUCGAGCCCGGAGAUAGCUGGUUCUCCCCGAAAUAGCUUUAGGGCUAGCCUCAAGGUGAGAGAUACGGAGGUAGAGCACUGAAUGUCCUAGGGGGUAUUGCACCUACCGAAGACUAUCAAACUCCGAAUGCCGUCAUCUUAUACUUGGGAGUCAGACUGUGGGUGAUAAGAUUCAUAGUCGAAAGGGCAACAGCCCAGAUCGUCAGCUAAGGUCCCUAAAUGUAAGUUAAGUGGUAAAGGAUGUGGGAUUGCACAGACAACCAGGAUGUUGGCUUAGAAGCAGCCACUCAUUCAAAGAGUGCGUAAUAGCUCACUGGUCGAGUGAUCCUGCGCCGAAGAUUUCCGGGGCUAAAACUUACUACCGAAGCUACGGCAUCAGUAAUGAUGGGUAGGGGAGCUUCCCAUACGGGUUGAAGCAUGACCGUAAGGACAUGUGGACAGUAUGGGAGUGAGAAUGUUGGCAUGAGUAGCGAGAUGUGGGUGAGAAUCCCACAGGCCGUAAACCCAAGGUUUCCAGGGGAAGGUUCGUCCGCCCUGGGUUAGUCGGGACCUAAGCUGAGGCCGAAAGGCGUAGGUGAUGGACAACAGGUUGAUAUUCCUGUACUACCGAUAACCGUUUGAGAGAAGGGAUGACACAGUAGGAUAAGCUAAGCACACUGUUGGUUAUGUGUGCCCAAGCAUUGAGGCAGUCAAAGUAGGCAAAUCCGCUUUGAUAAUGCUGGGAUGUGAUGGGGAGCGAAAUUUAGUAGCGAAGUAGCUGAUUUCACACUGUCAAGAAAAGUCUCUAUCGAGGUUAAAGGUACCCGUACCGCAAACCGACACAGGUGGGUGAGGAGAGUAUCCUAAGGCCAGCGAGAGAACUGUUGUUAAGGAACUCGGCAAAAUGACCCCGUAACUUAGGGAUAAGGGGUGCCACCAUCAGGUGGCCGCAGAGAAUAGGCCCAAGCGACUGUUUACCAAAAACAUAGGUUUCUGCUAAGUCGCAAGACGAUGUAUAGGAGCUGACGCCUGCCCGGUGCUGGAAGGUUAAGGGGAUCUGUUAGAGCAAUCGAAGCAGUGAACUUAAGCCCCAGUAAACGGCGGCCGUAACUAUAACGGUCCUAAGGUAGCGAAAUUCCUUGUCGGGUAAGUUCCGACCCGCACGAAAGGCGUAACGAUUUGGGCACUGUCUCAACAACAGACUCGGUGAAAUUGUAAUUCCGGUGAAGAUGCCGGAUACCUGCGACAGGACGGAAAGACCCCAUGGAGCUUUACUGUAGCUUGACAUUGGGUCUUGGUACUACAUGUACAGGAUAGGUGGGAGGCUUUGAAACCAGGACGCCAGUUUUGGCGGAGCCAUCCUUGGGAUACCACCCUUGUAGUACUGGGACUCUAACCAUAGGCCAUGAAUCUGGUCUUGGGACACUGUCAGGUGGGCAGUUUGACUGGGGCGGUCGCCUCCCAAAAGGUAACGGAGGCGCUCAAAGGUUCUCUCAGUACGGUCGGAAAUCGUACGUAGAGUGUAAAGGCAAAAGAGAGCUUGAUUGCAAGACAUACAGGUCGAGCAAGGAUGAAAAUCGGACUUAGUGAUCCGGUGGUUCUGCGUGGAAGGGCCAUCGCUCAACGGAUAAAAGCUACCCUGGGGAUAACAGGCUUAUCUCCCCCAAGAGUCCACAUCGACGGGGAGGUUUGGCACCUCGAUGUCGGCUCAUCACAUCCUGGGGCUGUAGUAGGUCCCAAGGGUUGGGCUGUUCGCCCAUUAAAGUGGUACGCGAGCUGGGUUCAGAACGUCGUGAGACAGUUCGGUCCCUAUCCGUCGCAGGCGUAGGAAAUUUGAGAAGACCUGUCCUUAGUACGAGAGGACCGGGAUGGACGUACCUCUGGUGUACCAGUUGUCCUGCCAAGGGCAUGGCUGGGUAGCUAUGUACGGAAUGGAUAAGCGCUGAAAGCAUCUAAGCGCGAAGCCAACUUCAAGAUAAGAUUUCCCACCGCAAGGGUAAGACCCCAGAAAGACUAUCUGGUUGAUAGGUCGAAGGUGUAAGUGCAGCAAUGUAUUUAGCUUAUCGAUACUAAUAGGUCGAGGACUUGACCAAU